GACGAACGCUGGCGGCGUGCUUAACACAUGCAAGUCGAACGGUGAAGCGCCUUCCUUUUUGGUGGGUGUGGAUGAGUGGCGAACGGGUGAGUAACACGUGAGUAACCUGCCCCCUUCUUCUGGAUAACCGCAUGAAAGUGUGGCUAAUACGGGAUAUUCUGGGUCUGUCGCAUGAUGGGUCUGGGAAAGAUAUUGUUUCGGUGGGGGAUGGGCUCGCGGCCUAUCAGCUUGUUGGUGGGGUGAUGGCCUACCAAGGCGGUGACGGGUAGCCGGCCUGAGAGGGUGGACGGUCACACUGGGACUGAGACACGGCCCAGACUCCUACGGGAGGCAGCAGUGGGGAAUAUUGCACAAUGGGCGCAAGCCUGAUGCAGCGACGCCGCGUGAGGGAUGAAGGCCUUCGGGUUGUGAACCUCUUUCGCCAGUGAAGCAGGCCUGCCUCGUUUGUGGGUGGGUUGACGGUAGCUGGAGAAGAAGCGCCGGCUAACUACGUG
rnacentral:rRNA from 1 species